AACGAACGCUAGCGGCAGGCCUAACACAUGCAAGUCGAACGCACCGCAAGGUGAGUGGCGCACGGGUGAGUAACACGUGGGAAUGUAUCCUUUGGUUCGGAAUAACGUCUGGAAACGGACGCUAAUACCUGAUGAGCCCCUAGGGGGAAAGAUUUAUCGCCAAAGGAGCAGCCCGCGUCUGAUUAGGUAGUUGGUGGGGUAAAGGCCUACCAAGCCGACGAUCAGUAGCUGGUCUGAGAGGAUGAUCAGCCACACUGGGACUGAGACACGGCCCAGACUCCUACGGGAGGCAGCAGUGGGGAAUAUUGGACAAUGGGCGCAAGCCUGAUCCAGCCAUGCCGCGUUAGUGAUGAAGGCCUUCGGGUUGUAAAGCUCUUUCGCACACGACGAUGAUGACGGUAGUGUGAGAAGAAGCCCCGGCUAACUUCGUGCCAGCCGCCGCAGUAAAAC
rnacentral:rRNA from 1 species